GACGAACGCUGGCGGCGCGCCUAACACAUGCAAGUCGAACGGUGAAGAGGAGCUUGCUCCUCGGAACAGUGGCGGACGGGUGAGUAACACGUGAGCAACCUGGCUCUAAGAGGGGGACAACAGUUGGAAACGACUGCUAAUACCGCAUGACGUAUCGGGAUGGCAUCUUCCUGAUACCAAAGAUUUUAUCGCUUAGAGAUGGGCUCGCGUCUGAUUAGAUAGUUGGCGGGGUAACGGCCCACCAAGUCGACGAUCAGUAGCCGGACUGAGAGGUUGAACGGCCACAUUGGGACUGAGACACGGCCCAGACUCCUACGGGAGGCAGCAGUGGGGGAUAUUGGACAAUGGGGGCAACCCUGAUCCAGCGACGCCGCGUGAGGGAAGAAGGUUUUCGGAUUGUAAACCUCUGUUGACGGAGAAAAAAAUGAUGGUAUCCGUUUAGAAAGCCACGGCUAACUACGUG
rnacentral:rRNA from 1 species